rnacentral:rRNA from 1 species
GAUCCUGGCUCAGGAUGAACGCUAGCUACAGGCUUAACACAUGCAAGUCGAGGGGCAGCAUGGUCUUAGCUUGCUAAGACUGAUGGCGACCGGCGCACGGGUGAGUAACACGUAUCCAACCUGCCGUCUACUCUUGGACAGCCUUCUGAAAGGAAGAUUAAUACAAGAUGGCAUCAUGAGUUCACAUGUUCACAUGAUUAAAGGUAUUCCGGUAGACGAUGGGGA